CACGCCGUAAACGAUGUCAACUAGCCGUUGGGGAACUUGAUUCUUUAGUGGCGCAGCUAACGCACUAAGUUGACCGCCUGGGGAGUACGGCCGCAAGGUUAAAACUCAAAUGAAUUGACGGGGGCCCGCACAAGCGGUGGAGCAUGUGGUUUAAUUCGAUGCAACGCGAAGAACCUUACCAGGUCUUGACAUCCCGAGAAGUCGCUAGAGAUAGCUUCGUGCCUUCGGGAACUCGGUGACAG
rnacentral:rRNA from 1 species